rnacentral:tRNA from 1 species
GGUUCCAUAGCGUAGCGGUUAACACAUCUGCUUUACACGCAGAAGGUCCUGGGUUUGCAUCCCAGUGGAGUCA